AAUACCACCUUCACCAAUGACGCUGUAUUGACGUUCGAAGCUGUUAAGCUCGGUCACCGGCAUCGUUUUCGCAAUUGGGCAUAAGGAGUGUAUUUCGUUCUCCACAACCGGCACAAGACCCCUUGUUUUAGAAUAUUUAACAGACUCCUUCCUAUGUUUGUUAAACCAUUCUGAAAUUUUCUCAAUUAUCGCAUCAAGCAAAGGUAAAAGGAAGUAUUUCCUUGCACGCUCAAACGUACUGUUCAAUGAUUCACACGCAUUGCUCGUGUCUAUGUUAUACCUAUCCCCUUCAAAAUAGCACAUAGCCCAAUUUUCCACAGGAGCCCAUCGAUCCAAAUACGGACCGACAUUAGGAAAUCUUCUCCUAAAUCGAGCAUACUCUCUCGUGAACUCAAACUGAGUAUAAACAUGUGCGCAUGCAAUGAAGUUAGCCGCCGCUUCUUCCUUCUCAGUUUUCACUCGUACUUUAACGUUUUGAGACAAAUGCCAAACACAAUGGCCAUGUCUCGCGUUUGGAAACACUUGCAUAAUUGAUUUGAUGAUGCUCUGAUGUCUAUCACUCACAAAAACCAAACCUGGUACAUCUGGUAUAACUGUUUUCAGCUUGUUAAAGAACCACGACCAACUAGCAUCGUUCUCCCUAUCAAUUACAGCAGACGCAAUGAUAUAAUUGUGAUGAUUAGGAUCUUGGGCUGUUGCGAAAACUAGCAUACCGCCGUAUACGGUCUUAAGAAAAGUGGCAUCCACAAUAACAACUUUCCUCAUAACUUUGAACCCUUCAAUGCAAGCACCCAAAGCAACGAAUAAGUACUUGAACUUUUGUUGUGCAUCCACUUCCACAUAUGAUAUUGUCCCGGGAUUCACCUCCUUUAAUACGUGCAGAUAAGAGUACAAGUCGGUGUAGCUUUUUUCAGGACUACCACGCACAUCACUAACGUGUUAUCUUUUCCCUCUCCAUGCGGUAGCAUACGAGCAAUGCAAACCCAUUCUUCCCCGAGCAAUACUCAUUAUGCUUUUAGGUGGUGGAGUUUGAAACUCACCUCGAUAAUCCUCAUACAAAAUAGACGCGAUUAAUCGUGGUGUGCCGGUAUGUUUACAAUUGCCUGAGUUCUUAUCAGACCGCUUGCAUGUGUGCAUCUUCCUGUGAACUCUAACACUAAAACAAUCUGAACUCUUUACUUUUGCACAUCGUAAAUACCAUCGACAACCUGUUGUUUUAGAUUGCCGACAUCGUAACAUGAGUCGCUGUGGAUCUGACGCUAUAGUUGUAGUCGCAAAACAAUACUUAUUUGCAGCUCUGUUAACCAAAUCUUGCACGGCCUCCUUAGAAACAAAUUCUUGAUGCAAUUCAAUCUCCGUUCCAUCUUCCCAUUCCGUAACACUCUGACUUUUCUCACUACUCUGACUUCCUUCACCAACACAUGGAAGCUCAUAAUACUCAAUUCUACCAUCAACACCAUUAUCUUCAGCAACAUCCAUCCGGCUAUCCACAUGCUCCCUAUCUUCAAUAACUACAUUCUCCAUAGCCUCUUCAAAAACCCGGCUAUCCGCAUUCUCAAUAGCCUCUUCUACACUAUUAGCCUCUUCAAUAAUCGGUUCAGCAUUAACACAAUUACCUCCUGCAUCUUCUCCUCUAAAAAUUGUCACUACUCCACCAUUCUCCACAUCAAAUGCAUUCAACUCCUCAUAAUUAAUACCAACUGAACUUCUUCUCUCUACCCUUGAAUUUUGUUCCACCCUCUCAGAUUCUUUAUUUACUACCUCCACGUUCAAAGCUGGUCUAAUUCCCUUAGCAUUCACUACCGUUAGAUAACCUAAAAAGUCAUCAUCAUCUACAAUAGAUGUCUCUCUCUGAGAUGUGCAUAGAAUAUAACUCAAUUUCACCUUCCUUGAGGUUUCAUCUAUUCCAAUCUUCUUGCAUAUCUUUUCUACUAACAUAGAGUAUGUUACCUUUGACGUCCUCAACAAUACACCGCUUAAAGAAUUGUUUGAAAUCCACUCAUGCUAUUCUGAAUAAUACCCAUUGUCAAAUUGUAUGAAUGUGUGCUUGUUCUUCAUCGUCUCCUGUAAUUACAAAUAAAUU
rnacentral:sRNA from 1 species